rnacentral:ncRNA from 1 species
UCUUAUCAAGAGUGACCGAGGGAACAGGCCCAAUGACGUCCGGCAACCAAACAUCUGUUAUGGUGCCACAUCCUGCAAGAAUAUCUUGAAAGAUGAGA